UAAUCUUUUAUUAAUAAAGCAUUUCUUUGUCUUUGUCACUUUCCCCAGAUAUUUAAAGCUAACACAUGUUAUUUUUGUUUCUUUUGCUAGCUAUGCUAUUAGGAUUUAAUUAAAUGGAUGCCAACAUCAAGUAAACCAUCUCCAAAGAUGCCAUGAAGCUCUCCUAAUUGCAGGAAAAUAUCAGAGGCACUUGAUUUGAGUCUUUCAAGUACGGAAAUAACAAAUUCAGUCUCAACAGACCUAUAGUGAAUGAGAAUCCUUCCAAGCCACAAGGAAAAUCACCAGGCCAAAAGUGAGGUUUGAAGUCUGGACAUGUACUGGUUUUCUCUAGCAAUCAACUCUCAAUUUUUGGACAUUGAGAUCUGCUGGUUGGAGAUCUUAGUGCCCAAGGAAGAAUGCUUGCAAAAGGAGAUGGAACAGUGUUUCUGUUGCAUUGGCCACUGAGAAUAUCUGGUUAUUUUGAAUUUGUCACAGUCUGCAGCUAAAAGGCGAACAGGAAAAGAAGAGCAGGAAUUCACUGAAUGUCUAUCUAUCAUGUAUGCUGUUGGAGGCACCUGUCUUUCAGUUCAGAGGUUAUGGAUGUAUCUAUCAUCAGUAUUUCAGACUUUAAUCUCUAUGCUAGAAAUUAGUGGCCCUUAACCAACUCUUGACUUUCCUAAGGCUUAACUUGUUGGCCCAUAAUCACAUGGGAUCAUGUGGAUCACCUGGAGGGCUGAUAAUGACCAAUGGCAUUAGAAAGGAGAAGGAGCAGUUGGGGCCUCAGGGCAAUCCCAGGAGGCGAUGGCCUGCAUUACACGUACUGGGUACUGCUGGCUGUGUUUUUUUCAAUGACAUCACUUAAUGCCUGGGGAAUGCUUCUUCCACAAAAUUGGAAAGUCAGGGACCCCGAACAGAGGGACUUAAUGAAGCUGUGGCAGAAGAACAAAUUGUGAAGAUUUCAUGGACGUUUAUUAGUUCCCCAAAUUGAUACUUUAAUAAUUUCUUACAUCUGUCUUUACUGCACUCUCUGAACAUAAAUUGUGAAGAUUUCAUGGACAUUUAUCACUUCCCCAAUCAACACUCUUAUAAUUUCCUAUGCCUGUCUUUACUUUAAUCUCUUAAUCCCAUCAUCUUUGUAAGCUGAAGAUGUAUGUCCCUCAGGACCCUGUGAUGAUUGCGCUAUCUGCACAAAUUGUUUGUAAAGCAUGUGUGUUUGAACAGUAUGAAAUCUGGGCAUCUAGAAAAGGAACAGGAUAACAACGAUUUUCAGGGAACAAGGGAGAUAACCAUUAGGUCUGACUGCCUGGGAGCCGGGCAGGACCAAGUCAUAUUUCUCUUAUUGUCGAAAACGGGUAAGAGAAAUAUUGUUGAAUUCUUUCCCCAGUAAGGAAUAUUAAUAAUUAACAACUCUGGGAAAAGAAUGCAUUCCCGGGGGGAGGCCUCUAAAAUGGCCCCUAUGGGAAUGUCUGCCUUAUGCAGUUGUAGAUAGGGAUGAAACACGCCCUGGUCUCCUGCAGCGCCCCCAGGCUUGCUAGGAUUAGGAAAUCCAGCCUGGUGAAUUUUAGUCAGACUGGUUGUCUGCUCUCAAACCCUAUCUUCUGAAAAGAUAUUAUCAAUGACAAUGUGUGCCCGGUGGGACAUGAGACUUCCUCAGCAAUUCUAAUUUUGCCCUGAUCCUGUGAUCUCACUCUGCCCCUGUCUGCCUUGUGAUAUUUUAUUGCCCUUGAAGCAUGUGAUCUCUGUGACCCACACCCUAUUCGUACACCCCUCCCCUUUUGAAAUCCAUAAUAAAAACUUGCUGGUUUUGUGGCUCAAGGGGCAUCACGGAGCCUGCUGACAUGUGAUGUCUCCCCCAGACACCUAGCUGUAAAAUUUCUCUCUUUUGUACUCUUUCCCUUUAUUUCUCAGACCAGCUGACACUUAGGGAAAAUAGAAAAGAACCUAUGUUGAAAUAUUGGGGGCUGGUUCCCCCAAUACAUUUCGACCUUGGAGAAUCUGAUGAUUUUGUGCCUCAUGGUUUUCUUUUGUAGUAUCUUGUUGGGGUUCUCUGCAUUUCCUGAUUUGAAUGUUGGCCUCUAGGUUGGGAGAAUUUUCAUGGAUGAUAUCCUUAAGUAUGUUUUCCAAGUUGCUUACUUUCUCUCCCUCUCUUU